rnacentral:rRNA from 1 species
CACGUAGGGCGCAAGCGCUGUCCGGAAUUAUUGGGCGUAAAGAGCUCGUAGGCGGUCUGUCGCGUCGGCUGUGAAAACCCGGGGCUCAACCCCGGGCCUGCAAUCGAUACGGGCAGACUAGAGUGCGGUAGGGGAGACUGGAAUUCCUGGUGUAGCGGUGAAAUGCGCAGAUAUCAGGAGGAACACCGGUGGCGAAGGCGGGUCUCUGGGCCGUAACUGACGCUGAGGAGCGAAAGCGUGGGGAGCGAACAGG